rnacentral:rRNA from 1 species
UACAGAGGGGGCAAGCGUUGUUCGGAAUUACUGGGCGUAAAGGGCGCGUAGGCGGCCUGCUAAGUCGAACGUGAAAUCCCUGGGCUCAACCCAGGAACUGCGUCCGAUACUGGUUGGCUUGAAUCCGGGAGAGGGAUGUAGAAUUCCAGGUGUAGCGGUGAAAUGCGUAGAUAUCUGGAGGAAUACCGGUGGCGAAGGCGGCAUCCUGGACCAUUACUGACGCUGAGGAGCGAAAGCGUGGGGAGCGAACAGG